rnacentral:lncRNA from 1 species
GACAAGUUGACGUUGCCAUUAAAUGUUUAACAACGUUUGUAAUACACUAUUUUGCCCGGGUCUAAAAAGGCCCAAAUUACAAGCAAGCCUAUAUGGCCCAAAAUGAAAUAAAACAAGGACCCAAAUUGCAGUGGCCCAAAAUCAUCAGAAACCCUAGGGUUUCUAAUCUUCAGCCGCAGCAACCAUGCCCUCCGAAUCUCCACGUGCUCGUAUCUGCACAGCAAAAAAAGAAGCAAAGCAGCAUAUGGUAAGAAAAUAUUAAAAUCAAAUCAAGCAGAUACCAGAAGAUUUCUUUUUAUUUUUUCUUGUUUCACGAUUGCUAUAAAAGCAAUCUUAAGAUACUGUAAAUGUGGAUCGAAAAAUCAAUAAAAACGAAUAUUUCAUAACAAAAAGAGUAGAGAAUACAACGAGAUCAAAAAAAUCAAAUAUCGGAGGUUAACAUCUAUUUUCUUGCUUCGUUUCAAGAUUUUUCUUUCGUUUUUUAUUUUUUACAUGCGAAAAUAAAAUAAAAAGGGAAAAAGAAAACGACUCACCUUCGUUUGAGUCUGAAACGUCACUAAGACUGUAGAGGGAGCCACCCCCGAGGAUCGGUGGCCGGAAACCGAAAGGUUUCUUGCCUGCUUUGAGGAUUUUUGAUGGUAUUUUGGUGUUUUCGAGCCCGGAUUUGGGUUUAAAGGGGCCAGAAAAGCCGAAUAGGGGAUUUUCCCCUUUUCUGGCCACAGCAGACGGCGGUGCUGUCGUCGGAGGCUGGCGGCCGGCAUGGUGGCCGACAAUCGGCCGGUGCCCGGACCCUGGCCAGACGAUGAAGGAGGGGAGAGCUUUUUGAAA